AUAACUAUGUUCAAGUACAGCUCUUAGUUUUCCUAAAUAUAGUGAUAAGAAUAUGUUAGAAAGGAGGUUAGACUAGUUAUUGACAGUUUUUACUGCAUGAAACAUUUCUUAAAAUUCUGCCAAGAAGUAUAUAUUUAUUGAAUAUAUUCAGCGGGAAGGAGUGGGAGAGAAUGGGAGGGAGAGAGGGGGAAGAGAGAUCGAGGGCACACAAGUGUGCUUCUCCAAAUGUGCAAAGUUGAGUUAAUGCAGUUAGCCAGUCAUUAAUCACAUUGAUUUCUUCUGCCCUUUUUAUUUCCUUUUUUCAGAUUGCCUUGGUUUCACUGGAUGCCUGUGGUUUAGGUGAGCAUCUGUAGGGGGAAGGCACGAAACAACCAGAAGAGUUAUUGUGCUAUCCACGGUGUCCUGCGACUGCGGCCAUACAGUGGAUUACUAUGUGGAGAAGGCAAAUUUCCAGGCAGACCUAAAGUAGCUGCAGAAUUGAGAUUUCUUGACCUGCAAGAUGGCUGGUUGACCCCACAGAGUCCUCUCAGCUCCAAAUCUGUGCUCAGCUUCAUGCCCUCAGGCAUGGGCCACACCUACACAGGGCGUGGAAGGGAGAGUCAGAGUUCUUCUCCACGUGCCCCAGGUAGGCGAGGGUAGUCGCCACAGAUACAAUCCCAAUUGUGAAGAUAGAAGAUAGAGUCUGUGCAACUACCUGUUAAUGGCAUGUCUUGGACUGAGACCUUUGAAUGUGCAACCAGUACCAAUCAAGAUGCUUUGCAGCCUGCGAUGUGAAGUCCAUACCAGGAGCCCUGGUGGAACAGAAUGUCCCAAAUUUUAAUGUACAGCAUGUGCCCCCUGAGUGUCUUGAUAAAUGCUGGUUCCGACUCAUCUGAUUCUGGUGCAGGCUGAGAUUCUUCAUUUCUGGGAUUAGUGACGCAAAUAGACCCUGCUCCGU
rnacentral:lncRNA from 1 species